GAUGAACGCUGACAGAAUGCUUAACACAUGCAAGUCGAUGGGGAAGUGGUGCUUGCACCAUGGCAACCAUGGCGGACGGGUGAGUAACGCGUAAGGGACUUACCUGCAGGACUGGGAUAACAGGGGGAAACUCCUGACAAGACCGGAUAAUGUCAUGGAGCUGCAUGGCUUUAUGAUGAAAGGAGACGCCUGCGGAGAGCCUUGCGUCCUAUUAGCUAGUUGGUGAGGUAAUGGCUCACCAAGGCGAAGAUAGGUAGCCGGCCUGAGAGGGUGGACGGCCACAAGGGGACUGAGAUGCCGCCCUUACUCCUACGGGAGGCAGCAGUGGGGAAUAUUGGACAAUGGGGGCAACCCUGAUCCAGCAAUUCUGUGUGCACGAAGAAGGUUUUCGGAUUGUAAAGUGCUUUCAGCAGGGAAGAAGUAAGUGACGGUACCUGCAGAAGAAGCGACGGCUAAAUACGUG
rnacentral:rRNA from 1 species